rnacentral:rRNA from 1 species
AUAUUGCGCAAUGGGGGAAACCCUGACGCAGCAACGCCGCGUGCGGGAUGACGGCCUUCGGGUUGUAAACCGCUUUCAGCAGGGAAGAACAUCGACGGUACCUGCAGAAGAAGCCCCGGCUAACUACGUGCCAGCAGCCGCGGUAAUACGUAGGGGGCGAGCGUUAUCCGGAUUCAUUGGGCGUAAAGCGCGCGUAGGCGGGUGCCUAAGCGGGACCUCUAACCUCGGGGCUCAACCCCGAGCCGGGUCCCGAACUGGGCGCCUCGAGUGCGGUAGGGGAGAUCGGAAUUCCCGGUGUAGCGGUGGAAUGCGCAGAUAUCGGGAAGAACACCGAUGGCGAAGGCAGAUCUCUGGGCCGACACUGACGCUGAGGCGCGAAAGCUAGGGGAGCGAACAGG